rnacentral:rRNA from 1 species
GACGAACGCUGGCGGCGUGCUUAACACAUGCAAGUCGAGCGGUAAGGCCCUUUCGGGGGUGCACGAGCGGCGAACGGGUGAGUAACACGUGGGUGACCUGCCCUUAGCUCUGGGAUAAGCCUGGGAAACUGGGUCUAAUACCGGAUAUGACUCCAUGACGCAUGUUGUGGGGUGGAAAGCCUUGUGCGGCUAGGGGAUGGGGCCCGCGGCCUAUCAGCUUGUUGGUGGGGUGANGGCCUACCAAGGCGACGACGGGUAGCCGGCCUGAGAGGGCGACCGGCCACACUGGGACUGAGACACGGCCCAGACUCCUACGGGAGGCAGCAGUGGGGAAUCUUGCGCAAUGGGCGAAAGCCUGACGCAGCGACGCCGCGU